ACAUCACAAUGAGUGAUAUCAUGACUUAGGUGUGAUUUGGAUUUUAGUGAGGCAGAGUUGCACAAAGCCAUCAGCUUUACUCUUUCUUUCAGAAUCACUGAAGUUCAGCAGCAAGACAAAAGUCAGGAUGACUGGUGACAGCCCAGGAUUCAGUGAAUGACCUUGCCAAUUUCAACCUCCUACCAAAUUAUUAAUAUUCCACAAUACUUGCUUUUGUUACCUACAUGGCCAUUGGAACAAAUUGCUCUUAUCCAUUCAUUCUCACAUGCUUGGGGUAAAUAUUACCUAUUUCAUUAAGCAGGUUUAAAGUCUGUCAACUACCACAACUUAGUUUUGAAAGCAGUAUGUUUUCUGAGUUCUGUGCAAGCUACAACUUCUUGGAGCCAUAGUUGGGAGCUGGGUGACAGAUGGACACCAAAAAUGUAUGUUGUAGCUAUAACAUCCUCAGCAACCACAGCUGCUGAAGAUACAGAAAAAAAAGGUUACCAGCAAAGUCCUUGGCACUAUCAAAUGAUUUGGUACCAGAGACAGAUAUGGCUUUAUUAAUGGAAAUACAAUUAAAGAAGUUAUAUUUACAUA